rnacentral:rRNA from 1 species
CAGAGGUGCCAAGCGUUAGGCGGAAUCACUGGGCUUAAAGCGUGUGUAGGCGGAAUUGUAAGUACCUUGUGAAAUCCCACGGCUCAACCGUGGAACUGCUCGGUAUACUGCUUUUCUUGAGCCACUUAGGGGCUACCGGAACAAAUGGUGGAGCGGUGAAAUGCGUAGAUAUCAUUUGGAACGCCAAUGGUGAAAACAGGUAGCUGGGAGUGUGCUGACGCUGAGACACGAAAGCCAGGGGAGCGAACGGGAUUAGAUACCCCGGUAGUCCUGGCCGUAAACGAUGUCCACUAGAUCGUAGAAGCUCUGACGCUUUUAUGGUCGAAGCAAAAGUGCUAAGUGGACCGCCUGGGAAGUACGGUCGCAAGGCUA